rnacentral:rRNA from 1 species
AUCGAACGCUGGCGGCAUGCCUUACACAUGCAAGUCGAACGGUAACAGGUCUUCGGAUGCUGACGAGUGGCGAACGGGUGAGUAAUACAUCGGAACGUGCCUAGUAGUGGGGGAUAACUACUCGAAAGAGUGGCUAAUACCGCAUGAGAUCUACGGAUGAAAGCAGGGGAUCGCAAGACCUUGUGCUACUAGAGCGGCCGAUGGCAGAUUAGGUAGUUGGUGGGAUAAAAGCUUACCAAGCCGACGAUCUGUAGCUGGUCUGAGAGGACGAUCAGCCACACUGGGAAUGAGACACGGCCCAGACUCCUACGGGAGGCAGCAGUGGGGAAUUUUGGACAAUGGGCGCAAGCCUGAUCCAGCAAUGCCGCGUGCAGGAUGAAGGCCUUCGGGUUGUAAACUGCUUUUGUACGGAACGAAAAGCCCCGGGUUAAUACCCUGGGGUCAUGACGGUACCGUAAGAAUAAGCACCGGCUAACUACGUGCCAGCAGCCGCAGUAA